rnacentral:rRNA from 1 species
CCUACGUGAGGCAGCAGUGAGGAAUCUUGGUCAAUGGACGCAAGUCUGAACCAGCCAUGCCGCGUGCAGGAAGACGGCUCUAUGAGUUGUAAACUGCUUUUGUACGAGGGUAAACUCAGAUACGCGUAUCUGUCUGAACGUAUCGUACGAAUAAGGAUCGGCUAACUCCGUGCCAGCAGCCGCGGUAAUACGGAGGAUUCAAGCGUUAUCCGGAUUUAUUGGGUUUAAAGGGUGCGUAGGCGGUCGGAUAAGUUAGAGGUGAAAUCCCGAGGCUCAACUUCGGAAUUGCCUCUGAUACUGUUCGGCUAGAGAGUAGUUGCGGUAGGCGGAAGGUAUGGUGUAGCGGUGAAAUGCUUAGAGAUCAUACAGAACACCGAUUGCGAAGGCAGCUUACCAAGCUACGUCUGACGUUGAGGCACGAAAGCGUGGGGAGCAAACAGGAUUAGAUACCAUAGUAGUC